GCUACUACUGGGGCUUUGAACUGCCAUCUGUAACUGGGCACUUGGAUGGCAGGGAGCCAAUAGUGAAACCAACCUCUUUAAAU
rnacentral:ncRNA from 1 species